CAUCAUAUUUCAUUUAUAGUGAAAGUGGUUUGGAUUGAGCAAAAAAUUAGUAAAGGUGAAUCAAAAAUAGCCAGAGAUCUUUGCUUGUAAAGCAGUGCCUUCUGUUUUGUUCUUUACCACAGCUUUCCUUCUCCAUGAAAGAAGGUGUUACACAGAUUUUCACAAUAUUAUGGAUCAGAUCUCUUUCAUCUUUUCUUCACAGUCUGAGGGUUGCUAGUUUAUUGGUUUUUUUCCCCCACCACAGCUUAUGGGUAUCAUUGAGCACUGCAAGGCAUUUUGGGGAACAUUCUUUUCUGUGGGAUUAUGUUCCAGCUCUGCCAUAAUUUAUGUGCUUGAGUAGACCCCACUGAAUUUCUUACAGGUUUUCAGAAAGAAAGAGGACUUGUAUGGAUGUAAUUUGGAGGCAUCUGAAGAUAGUUUUAUACCACAUGAAUGCAAGAGUCAGCCCAAAGAGAUCCAAACGUAGUGUCUGGGCCUAUUGUUAGUUGGCAAGUGCUUUUAGAGUAUGUAAUGUGUCUCUGUCAUUUGUCUACCAUACACUUUGCCUCCAUAUGUUUAUCACUGUUGCUAUUGCUGAUUCAGUAUUUCAAUAAUAGAAUCAUUUGGAACUGUUCUUUAGACUAGGGUUUGCAUCAGACUUUUUCGGUCUUUGUAUAAUCAAACUAAUGUCAUUACUGAUCCUAGCAGCAUCUUUGAGUCAGAGCUGGCAUUAUAUCUAGAAAUUGUGCCUAUACUUUUAAAUAAAAGAGGCCUAAGGACUGACCUGGAGACAGUGACCUUGAUCGAGUCACAUCAGCACUGAUUAGGGAACAGCCUCCCUUCCCUGGAAACAGCCCAAAAUAGAACCAGAAAUGCAAAUAGACACAGAGAAGUUUUAUCCCUUCAUCAUGCAGAAGGAAAUUUAUUGCUAUUCCCAUUUCUGAACCUGUUCAGAUUUAUAAACUUUUCAUUAUUGAUUAUUCUAAAGGCUGGAUACAUGCAUAUAUUCAGUAAAUAGGUGAAAACAAUAAUUUUUCAAAUUGUAUAUGCUUCCCAAGGUUCAUUUAUAGCAAGGGAAUAGACACCAGAUAACCAGAAAAUACAUCUCAGAGCAUGCCCUUCCUGGGACAACACGAGGGAUUUGCCAUUGUACAGUUUAUGGAUGCUGCUGGAGGUUGUGAACUCUGUCCGUAUGUUUGUCAGACUGCAAGCUCCGUUUUGUUUUUAAGGCUGGCAUGCACCUUCCUGUGGCCUCACGCCUUUCCUGCUGGAUUAAAAUUCAUGCAGGGUGCGUGAUGGUCAAUGACUAAGUACUGUCCCAUUGAGUGCUGUGGUUCCAGACACUCAGUUAAUGCUGCUGAGAGGACCAGGUUGUUGAGGACAUGGGCACCUUGGCCACAAACUAGUCUGAGAGGAGGCUGCAUUUACCUUCUGAGAGCUGGAUGGGAGCUGAAAAGUUAGAGAAUGAAAGUGAUCCUCUCAAUGUCUUUGGAGCUCAGGAAAUGGCAGAUCCAGCACCUUGCACUUUUCCAUGCUCCUUUGGAGAUGCUCUAAAAAGGACAAGGUGGUUAUUCAGAAUUAAACUUCUUCUCCCCUCAAAAUGAAAAUAAUGACCAAAAUACCAGCCAAUUCAGAGCUGAAAAGGAAGUUUUAACUUUAACAGGCUUUGAACCAGUCUCUGAAAGAAUGAAGUACAAGAAAUUAUGACUUAAACGAUUUCAGGUUUUAAAACAUCCGCAGCAGCGAAAGCUUCUGAGUCAUCAGGGCUUCUACAGAAGGUCUAAAGAAAUACAUGCAAUGCAUCUUUACCAGAAAUAACAAGCAAAGAGAAUGACAAAUUGGAUCUGGAUUAAGAGAAAAAAAAAAAACACGAAGCACUGCUUUUACUUUCUGGCCAUUAUAUUCAAAUAACAAAGAAAAUAAUUUGCAGUUUUCUGCUGUAGAACACUUUACAGAAUUCAUGUGCCUGUAUUGAAUCUGUGUCAAGGCUAUAAAGUGUCCAGCAAAACCACGUAUCUAAUAUACUACAGAUGUCUUACCCAGAUGUUCUGAGGAAAGAAUUGAUCAUUCUUUUUGUUUCCUCUCUUACUACAGCAACCAGACAAUACCUAGGGUUUACCCCAUGGGUGCCAGUACUGAAGACUCAGUCAGCAUGACACCUGGAAGUUGUUCUGCUGGACAAGUAGAAGAGCUUAGUCCACAAUAAUCUUGUGUGGGUGUGGUUGGAGAGGGAAGUAAGCGUGGGAAGCUUCUUUAGCAUUCAUGCAUCAGUGCAAGAGCUAAUCCAAAUGCAGAAAUAGUACUCUGCUCUUGGAGAACUAAGCUUGCACCUGGAAUAUAGUUUUGCUUACAAGUGUUUUAUGUCUGCCUGGAGAACCUGUCAGCCACUGACCACUUUGGGCCAAGUUCCAACUGCAGGAAAUAAUCCUGAGGAGAAGAGUAGGAAGCAUUUUUGAACACUUUCUCUUCUCAACUUGACCUGCAGGUAGAAAGGCAGUCUCUGUUUUGACAUGUCUUGCUCUGCCAUCUUCAACCACCAAAGAAAGCACUUAAGAGGGCAAAUGAUGCAGUCUGGAGCUAACUCGUGAAAUAGCACAUGUAAUUAAGAUUAUUAUAAGUGUCAGUAGAAACUGUCUGAAUCAUCACCUCCUUACGUGUGAGAAUCUAAUACUGCAUGUCAGCCUAAAUCUAAACAUCUGCAGCAAGCAACUGUAUUUCUCAGAUUAUGAUAAUUCUGUUUCAAAAUGGGAGGCGAAACAGAGGGGAGAAAGUUUGCAGAUUUUCAGUCAGGAAAGAGAAGGAAUCUCCAGCUUCUGUGAGCACAGUCACAAACUGACUGAUUUACUUACUUACUGAUGACAUAAGUCAUGUGUCAUUUAUAAUGUGCUGCCACAAUCCAGCUGGACACGGUUGGCUGGCAGCAAAUUAUCCUGAACCUUGCAGAGGCCACAGACCUCCAGCUUGAGGUUGAAGAUGGCAGCUCCACCACGAUGAGGGACCAUCCUCAGGAGCCCUGGAGAUCGGCCUUUUCCCCCAUGACUGAUGCCUGCCUGGCCAGCAGAGAUUCAUCAGGUGCUUUGUCAGGAUGGCAAGCACAGUAGUGACUGAAUGUUAAAUCCUAGCUACGUUUUGUGGGUGCUGCCAAUAAAUAGUGGAUUUACAAUAUGAAGUUAUGUAUAUGCUGCUUGCAGCCUUUUUGAACCCUGCUAAAGAUGUCUGAACAAGCUGACCCAAAAGAGGAGCUGUAAAAGAGAGUAUGCAGGGAAGUAUCUUCUUUUUACUUAAAAAUAUGCUCAUUGCACCAGACUAUAUAGUGUUCGUUUAUGCUAAAACAAAUAAGAUCAUAUCCAUAAAUCAGUGAAAAGAAUUAAAAGAAUAAUUAAUAUUCCCUCUUUUGUACCUAUUCUGCGCUUCCUUUAUAAUUUGUAGCAGAUGGAAGCCAAAUGUUUUCAAAGAAUCAGAACCAAUUUUAUAAAAAGAUGGCUCAUCUUUUCAAAAUAACUUCUCCUUAGACUGCCAGUUGUACUUAGGAUUUUAAUCUAUAAAAACGUUACUGUUGGAAUAUGAUAACAUUUGGAGCUACUAAGCUCCAAGUGAAUUCACAUUCUUGAACCUUCCUCCAUAUUCCGUAUCUGAAGAUUCUUCCUUUUCACACCACUAUCUCAUUGUUUUACAUGCCUUUGGAAAAAUCUAGAAACCUUUGUGCCACAGCAAUAUUCUCAUUCUCUGCUAACAAGCUGUUGUGGUUCUAUUUGUGGUAGAUUUUCUUGAUUUAGAACAAAAUCUGUUUUUUAAAUUUAUUUUAUCGCAUGGGCAUAUAUAGUACAUUAUGAGUAAUCCUACCACAAAUCAGUAGAGAUGUCUGUCUUUUUUCUUCCUUAAGAAUUAAAGAAUUUCUAAGUCAAUAUUUAAAGAAAUGGAAGUGAAGAUAUGGAAAGAAAAUAAACAGAACUGAGUAAAGUAGAACAGAAAAUGAUGUUGACGAAAUAUGCUUUCUCUUAAGUGACAAUUCCAAAUAUGCAUUUAAGAGUAAAAAUAAACAGAUGAUGGUGGUGGGACAGAAGCCUGUAGCAGAAAGUAAGCUAUAGUGUGUGUCCAAAACACAUAAAUAAACAAGACUGAGAAUGAAAAGUCUUAUUCAGAAAUGCACAGAAACAAUUUCUUAGGUACAUCCUUAGGUUGCUUAACCAAGGAUUUGAAGCAUCUAAUAUCAAAAGUACAAAAUACAGAUGAAUUGUAUUUAAUUGAAAAAUGCAAUUCAACGUUUCAAGUGGCAAGAUUAUCUUAGAAUUUCUAACUGUGAUCUAUCCUGAUCUUUCCUCAAGUAAAUAUCUAGAAAAACUUCUGAAGAAAACAGAGAAGAAUAAGUAUAUUCACAAAGUGAAUUUCUGGGAUAACUCAUCUGGCAAGUAGACUACCACUACAGAGGAACCAUUCUUUCUUGGAAAGCAUCUAAUACAUUACUAUUGCUGGGAGGAGACCUGGUAUGUCAGUGCUGUUGUAACAGAGACAGAUUCUACUUCUUAAAGAUAAGUGGAGAAAGUCACACAAGUAGAUUGAAUGUCUCUAUAGACAGAAGACUUUUGUUUGAGAAGUUUUUAUACAUGUAAACUCCAAAAGAAAAGUUCACAAACUAGCCUGUUAUGAUGAUUUCAUAAUGGGAGUUUUUCUAAUUGAGUACACAGUUUUUGAAUGGUUGCCAUAAUGAAGGAGUGGUUUAUAGCAAGUGGUUUUGAAACAAACAAAUGCUUUCUCUUUUUUUGGUAACAGGGAAGAAUGGCUAGUGUUAAUGCAAUUCCAUGUCGAAAGUACAAAAAAAGUGUCCAAAGUUAGGAAGUAGGUGAUGCUACUGUUAAGUUGUGAAGGAGGGCACAUCAUGUGUACUUUGCACUUCACAUUUUAUGAUGGCAGAAGUAAAAUGCAUAAUAUAAAAUUGCAGUAGCUGAACUAUAUGAUAAUUAUGAUAAUUGGGGACAUUUCUCUCCAGGGAGUGAGCUCUAAUAGUUAAGAAGUGACUUGAUGUUAAAAUAAAAAUCUCACUAUGCAAUGAUUAAUUAAAUAAAAGGUAACCAGGAGGUUUAUUGAAUAGUAGCAAGGGGCAUGAUUUGUACUUUCUAUGGGCCACAGUAUGUAUUUAUUAAAAACCAUCUCUCUGUUUAUUGGAAGUUAAGACUGCAGUAGGACAUACCCUUUCAUCUGAAAAUUACGACUGUGGAAAUGAACAGCUAAGUGGGAAGAUGUAUAACCCUUUUCAUUUUCAUAUUGCCUAUAACAGCAGCAAUCCCGUGCUCCAUGGUGCUUCCAUUUGCAUUUCUGAUAGCCUCGGAAAGCAAUAAUUGCCUCACUUGCAUCAACAAAUGUAACUCAGGCUAACAGCAGCACCCAUGGACAAGGUAUUGCUCUCCGGAGGCAUGUCAGAGAGUGCCCUGGAGUUCUGAGGGUGGAUGAAGUGGUCUGAUUCAUCAUCCACUCUCUCAGUGUCUCCAGACACAGAUGAGAAUGUCUCACAUCUGGUCCUGAAUUUGUGGAGAGGCCAAGUAUGUCUUCAGUUGGCAGACACUUAGACUAUGGUUGGUGGUAAGCAAAGCAUCCUGGAGCCCUGUUCUGGCACUGAGGCCAACUGUCACAGAGUGACUUUCAACGACACUAAUAAAGCUCUUACUCUUCAGCAAAGAGCAUCCACAUCCACACUGCCUGCUGGAAGUGCUGCCAGGGCUGUACUAAUUCUUGAACUAUGUUUGGCAAAGUCCUAUAUGGCACAGACCAAAGCUGUGCCUGGUACUAUUCCAACUAUUCUGAACUAUUCUAACUGUAAUUUUAAAGUAAAACUGGUGGACUUCCCCUGCCCAGGAACUUUCCCUGACACUAUUAACUUAUUAGUAUAUGACUCUAGAGACUGGCUCAGUAAGAGAGUACCAAGAAUCGCAUAGGCGUAGGCCAAGGAGUCUGAUUUCUAUGCCCCAGCUUCAGGAUAUAUAGGAGAAAACCUCUACUGAUUUUAAGAUUCCCUUUUGUGAUGACACUGAGGUCCCUGUGUACAGGUAUGGCCUCUGCUGGGAGAUUUUCUCCUCUUGCUGCAGGCUGGGUAGCCUGGGGUUAGGAGGGGAUGACUGUCUCACUCAAAGUGCUGACAUGGUUAAUGCUAGAUAAGAUAACAUUUUUCCUGAUCUCUGAGGAGCUCAGUGGGACCAUACAAUUCCUGAGCUCAUCCUAUUCAGAUGAGAUCCAAGUUAAUUUCUCAGGAUACAUCUGAGAGACACUUUGGCUCUUGGGCUCAAUCCUUUUAUCAGUAUACUGUAAGCAGAGUACUAUAGACUUAAAAUUAGGGCAAUUAAGCUGUUUCUCCUCAGGAACCUAUGUUUUUUGAUCUGUACUGAGCUACCUUAGGUAGCAGGUCAGAGUGUUUUCCUCAUGACCUUUGGACUGAGAAUACUGCUAUAGUUUUUAGGUUCUGGAUGUAUUAGGUGAUGUUUAGAGUUAAAAUGUGUCUUUUUCAGAGCCUUGUUGUCAGACCUAGUAGAACAACUAGCUUUUGAAAUCUCUAAGGACAGGUUCAAACAAAAAUAGCCUGGAUAAAACAAUUGCUACAGGGAAUGGUUUCCAAAUUUGGGGUGACUCCUCUGAAAUUCACCCCCUGCAAGACUCCUCCUUUUUAAAGCAGAUACAUCUAGCACAAGUCCCUCUGCCUAUUUUGGUUGAUGCAGUGUGACACAGGGCAAGCAGUUUAAGAACUGAGGCAGUUGAUCUGAUGUGCACAGACUGACACUGAAAAAGAAGACCCAAGUGUUUUUAUUCUGCAAUCAUGUUCUUAAUUGACUCAUCAAAGUUAUUUUUGUUGUAUUAAGUUAGAGGAAUAUGAUGAUGACAUAGUGAUGAAGCCCAUUUCUCCUAAGCAGCCUACCUGUGAUAUUUGUUUGUUGUCUUUGUAAGUACAUUCUAUUAAUGGCAUAUAUUUUUACUAUGUCGAUGAUACAAUGUUAGAAGCUGCUUUCCACACAGUUUAUUCUGAGAUUGUACACCAUAACCUUGCUUACUUUGAUAUGAAUACUACUUGAUCUUACAGUGGCAGAGAGAUAGUUAUCUCAACAGGAUAGUAAAAGAGCUGAUUACUUCCUAAAGCACCUCUUUAAAUCAGGAAUCCUCACAAUAAAAUGCCUUUUAUGAAUCCUUUUAAUAUUAGAGCAUUCAACAGUUAAUCACCUUCAAAAAGAGUAGGUACUGUGGUAAACGGGGGAAAUAUCCUUCCUCUUUCCACUGGUACUUCAUCCUUAUUUGAGAUUUAAAUGCAGCUUUGGUUUAGUAUUUUUAAAUGCCUUCAUUUAAUAAGUAAUUCAAAAAGGGUUUUUUUGGCAAAGUUGAGUAGAAAAUAAGAAUGCUGAAAGCCUCCUCUCAGUCUAGACUGCUAUUUUUUGUGUAUGGAGGCAAAACGUUUGAUGUCAUUCCUGAAUAAUGUUCAGCAAUGUUUUAUCCAUCAGAGUUAUCCAAAUACAAGCAAAGGGCAAUUCCAUAUUUCAGUGACCUGACUAGUCCCUUUGUUGGAUGGCCAGUUCCACUUAGCUGCAGAUGGCCAUAUGAUAUAAAAGUAUAAGACAUUGCAAAAAGAGGUGAUGUAAGCUCUGGAAUCUGUUUUUGCAGUCUGUGCUCAUAUUUGCUACUACACACAUGAUCUUGUUCUCACUAGAAAAGUUCCAAAAGUUUACAUCAGUUAAUUUUAUUUGAUCUAUGUAAACUAGAAAAAAAUCUCUGAAGCUGACACUUUGAAUCCAGUUCAAACUUGUUUAGCUUAACUUUUCUUAAUUAGAGACCUAAGUGAAAACAAAGCAAGAGUAAAAUCACUUCCUCUGCACCACUGAUGGAUGUGUCUUACAUGCAUUAUCCGUGCUUGAAUUACUCUGUUUGUAUAAGCUCUGCUUCCAUGAAAGCAACCACACCGUGAAAUAACACUAGAGUUUGUUUUGUCCACGCUAUGUUUGUAUGUAAUGCUAACAGUUGUGGAUGGGCAUCCUAUGGAUUUCUUUACUGGAGCAAGCUGCAAAACAAAACAAAACAAAACAUUCCCAGUUAAUUGUUUAUAAGAAAAGGCUGACCUCUUUAGAUGAGCAGAAGGCACUGAAGGACUGUAUACCCUUGAAGUUUUCCCAUGGAGCAAACAUAUGUCCCUGCUACAGGGAGAUCAAUUAUUAGACUGCUUCCAUUAGUGGGCCAGCUAGUUAGCACCACAGGAUUCACCACGAUAGAGUUAGGAUCCUAUGUAUGAGUUAAACUUGGACAACAUUUAAGCUAAAGUUACCUUUGCAGAGAUGCUCUUGCGUUUGGGAUUUGCACUGCUGCACAAUAAGGCACAGAUCUAGUCUAGCAAGAUCCCUUAUAUUGCUCAGAUCUGCUUAGUGACAAUAAUAUGUCAGAUUCGGGAUGAGCUCGCCUGGGUGGCUGUGUCUGCGUGUGCUUUUGAGGGCGGGUGCCUGCUCAGAGUGAUAGUCUGCGUAUUUUCCUGAGCCUUGUUCUGUGAUAUGUCCCAUUCUACCUAUGCUCUGACAUGCGUAUAAAACUUAGUCAUUACACUAAAGAUGUAUCUUCUUUGCUCCAAAGUUAAAAAAUAAGAAAAAGGUAACAGUUUUCAGGACAGGUUAGUGAGACUGGCGGUUCACUGUUGAGGGAAAUUGAAAAUACUAACCAGACUUUGCAAAUAAGAAAAAUCUAUGUUUGGGAGUCUAAAUACAUAUUUGCUCACUUAAAUGAAUGGCCUGAGUUUUGGAGGUGCUGAGUUGAUCCAAACUCUAAAUGUUUUUCAUCCUCAAAAAUCUGUCCAAUUGCUUUCAUGUCUCUCUGUGGAAUGUAGUCACCCAAGUUUGACAGUUUUGGCUCUAAGGUUUAACUUGACUGAAAACAAACUGGCUUCAAAACUGUAGGGGAGGUUAGCAGCAGCUGCUCAAACCUAUGUAUCCAAGAAAGUAAAUCUUAAAAUGUCAAAUGGAUUUCUUCUCAUGAAUUCAACCGGCAAUAAACAGGAACAGAGACAUACUAGGAAAGGUAAAAGGAGAUCUCAGUCUUCUGUUUCUUGCUUAGAUGAUGCUUCUGAGCAACCCUGCCGAGGGUCAGGGGCCCAGGUGGACUGCUGUACAGGAACCUGAGGCUUGUAAUUUUCAUAACAACAUCUAUGGUUUAGAGACUGCUCUCUUCAGUUCUCAGUGGAGGAACUCUGAGCUGGCACAAUGAUAAACUCUGUAUCAUCCCUCUUCAAAAUAAAUGAAAAAUCUUGCAGGAAACAAGAGCUGCCCAGGCUGUGGCAGACUUCUAGGAAACUACUGUAAGAUGUUUGCAAUGCAUUGUGCAUCUGAGGAUAAAAUGAAAUUCAAGGUAGAUAGAUAAAGGUAGUAAGGAAGGUUUUCAGUUGAAUUUAGUACUGCUGAAACUCAAAAGCUGAGACCAGAAUUAGUGAACCCUUUGGAUUUAAGUAUUUGAAAUUCUAGUAUAAAAUUAUCUUUCAGUAAUGGAAAAAAUAGAAAUUAAUAUUGAAAUGAUUCUGCAUUCAGGAAGUGCAAAUCUGUCUUCAAGUUCAUUUAGCAAAGUGACAUUUAAAUUACUAUGAAGAAUUGUGUGCGCUAUAUGUUAUUUGUAAUUUCAUAAAAUGUUGGGAUGAGAUUGUCCUGGGAUCAGCAUGUGAUUAAACUGAUUAUAUACCUUA